GCCCACCGCCCUUGCCGCCUCGGGGCUCAGGCCCUUGGCGCUGGAGGGCAGCACCUGGGUACAGAGCCGGAUGCGCGCGCUUCCAGGCCUGAAGUGAUUUUUCACUCUCCCCAUAUCUGCUCAAAAUUUUUUUAAGUAAAAUGAAACAUAGAAGACUUUUCCCAGGAGUUGGUCAAUAACAUUUGUAUCAUUACUUCUUGUCAUCAAAGCAUCUUUCAAGGUAGGUUGCUUCAAUGACAUAUACAAUUCCUUUUUCUCCUCGUUUUUC
rnacentral:lncRNA from 1 species